GACGAGUUUGAUCCUGGCUCAGAAUCAACGCUGGCGGCGUGCCUCAGACAUGCAAGUCGAACGAUUAAAGCUCUCUUCGGAGAGUGUAUAGAGUGGCGCACGGGUGAGUAACACGUAAGUAAUCUACCCUCGAGUGGGGAAUAACAACCGGAAACGGUUGCUAAUACCGCAUAAUGCAGCGGCACCGCAAGGUGACAGUUGUUAAAGAUUUAUCGCUUGAGGAGGAGCUUGCGGCAGAUUAGCUAGUUGGUAGGGUAACGGCUUACCAAGGCUACGAUCUGUAACCGGUCUAAGAGGACGGUCGGUCACACUGACACUGAAUAACGGGUCAGACUCCUACGGGAGGCAGCAGUCGGGAAUUUUGGGCAAUGGGCGAAAGCCUGACCCAGCAACGCCGCGUGAAGGAUGAAGUAUUUCGGUAUGUAAACUUCGAAAGAAUAGGAAGAAUUAAUGACGGUACUAUUUAUAAGGUCCGGCUAACUACGUG
rnacentral:rRNA from 1 species